rnacentral:tRNA from 1 species
GCCGGUGUAGCUCAGUUGGUAGAGCGGCUGAUUUGUAAUCAGCGGGUCGGGGGUUCAAAUCCUCUCGCCGGCUCCA